GACGGGGGGUGCAAGCGUUAUCCGGAAUCACUGGGCGUAAAGCGUCUGCAGGUGGUGAUGCAAGUCACUGGUGCAAAACUCUGGCUCAACCGGAGGAAAGCCAGUGAAACUGCAUGACUAGGGUGUGGGAGAGGUAGAAGGAAUUCCCUGAGUAGCGGUGAAAUGCGUAGAUACAGGGAAGAACACCGGAGGCGAAAGCGUUCUACUGGAACACAACUGACACUGAGAGACGAAAGCUAGGGGAGCGAAUGGG
rnacentral:rRNA from 1 species